rnacentral:sRNA from 1 species
UAGACGGUGCAGAAAGGCGGAAGCGUGU